rnacentral:rRNA from 1 species
UACGUAGGGACCUAGCGUUGUUCGGAAUUACUGGGCGUAAAGGGCUCGUAGGCGGCCAACUAAGUCAGACGUGAAAUCCCUCGGCUUAACCGGGGAACUGCGUCUGAUACUGGAUGGCUUGAGUUUGGGAGAGGGAUGCGGAAUUCCAGGUGUAGCGGUGAAAUGCGUAGAUAUCUGGAGGAACACCGGUGGCGAAGGCGACCCCCUGGACCAACACUGACGCUGAGGAGCGAAAGCCAGGGGAGCAAACGGG